AACCCCUAUGAUAACUGAUUACGAUUAAAAUGUUAAAAGUAGUGACUGAUAUCUUUUUGAUGACUUCAGCUCGGAGGGGCU